rnacentral:lncRNA from 1 species
CAAAUUUCAUCAGAAAAAUACCUAAAGAACAAAGUAUACAUUGCAAUUUGUAAAGUAAAAUUCAAAUAGCAGACAGCAGAAUCAAAAAUUCAAGAGAAAUAUUGAAAAAAUCACCGUUGCUAGAGGAAGAUUACAAUCAAGAAACAACAAUUUUGGAUAAACAGAUAAAUUAGAAGGAGGUGAGCUGAAAUUAAAGCGUUCACAACAAUCAGAUCGAGUACGAGUUCAGCAUAUAACGCCUGUUUUUAAACUAAUAAAAAUCCGAUACUACCUUUCAACUUUGUUGACGAAGAAGUUGAAUAGGAAUCACUGCUCCACAAGUUAAAUUGCCUCUCCCCCAAUUUUUAGCGUAUAACGAGGAAGAAAACCUCAGUCGCUGGCCUCCUUUGCUCUACGAAUAAGACAAACAGAAAUGGGUUAGUCACUUAGUUGGAUUCGCAUGCCUUUUAAUUGGACUUUUUGAGAAUUUUUUUUCUCAUUCUAAUCCAUUUUCCAGAUGGGCCUCAAUGGAAUAAGUCUCU